UACGGAGGGUGCGAGCGUUGUCCGGAAUCACUGGGCGUAAAGGGCGCGUAGGCGGCGCGGGGAGUCAACGGUGAAAGCUCGGCGCUCAACGCCGAGUCGGCCGUCGAUACUCCCGUGCUUGAGCACUGUAGAGGCAGGUGGAAUUCCGGGUGUAGCGGUGGAAUGCGUAGAGAUCCGGAAGAACACCGGUGGCGAAGGCGGCCUG
rnacentral:rRNA from 1 species